UUGGCGGGGAGGAGGGUUGGAUUUGGCGGGAGCAGCGAGACGAGGGCGCCGUGGGUCUACUUGGCGACUGGCGAUUUUCCACGCCUCGCCGAUCUUCUCGCUUGCAUCGGCUAGUUGUUUAUCCUUCCCCGAUUCUCCCUGCCACGGAUUAAAGGGCCAUCGUCACAACUCACAAGUAGGAAAAUGGCCGAUGUCACGGUGGUACCAUCGAGAUCAGCCCAAUGGCUGUGUGCAUCGUAAUGCUGCAGUGGCCGUGGAUGCAGCUUCGUUACAGUAGUCGCAUUGGAUGCAUAGUCCAGACCACCUUUCUCGGUGGGAGACGCUAUUCCUGAUAGCAUAGAGCAGUUCCUAAAAUUAUACUGUAGUACUGCAAAGCCUGGAUGGGUGGUUCCAACACAGCAGCUUAUUCAGAUACGGAGCACCUCGCUGGCGCGUGAUCAACACGCGCAUUCGUUCCCCAAUCUUUGCUGGUGUCCUGCGUGGUGUUCUGCUCGCUGUGGAAGGCUCCUUCAACUUUUAGCUGGAUUUGUGCUUUAGUUUCCAUAUCUUUGUUAGUAGUUUGUAGUAGCCAGAUAGCUCUUACACAGUACCUUGUAUCGGCUUGCUGUUUUGUUUCUUUGUUUCCUUUGUCCGUUAGAUGUAAUCCUGGCCGGUUGAUGGCUUUAUUAAUUCAAAGCCGGGCUUUUUUUGA